GCUUUCGCGGUUGGGAUGGGGUCGCGUCCUAUCAGCUUGACGGCGGGGUAACGGCCACCGUGGCUUCGACGGGUAGCCGGCCUGAGAGGGCGACCGGCCACAUUGGGACUGAGAUACGGCCCAGACUCCUACGGGAGGCAGCAGUGGGGAAUAUUGCACAAUGGGCGCAAGCCUGAUGCAGCGACGCCGCGUGAGGGAUGGAGGCCUUCGGGUUGUAAACCUCUUUUAUCGGGGAGCAAGCGAGAGUGAGUUUACCCGUUGAAUAAGCACCGGCUAACUACGUGCCAGCAGCCGCGGUAAUACGUAGGGUGCAAGCGUUAUCCGGAAUUAUUGGGCGUAAAGGGCUCGUAGGCGGUUCGUCGCGUCCGGUGUGAAAGUCCAUCGCUUAACGGUGGAUCCGCGCCGGGUACGGGCGGGCUUGAGUGCGGUAGGGGAGACUGGAAUUCCCGGUGUAAC
rnacentral:rRNA from 1 species